rnacentral:rRNA from 1 species
GAAACUAACAAGGAUUCCCCUAGUAACGGCGAGCGAAGCGGGAAGAGCUCAAAUUUGAAAGCUGGCACCUCCGGUGUCCGCGUUGUAAUUUCGAGACGUGUUUUCCGCGUGGCGCCAUGGACAAGUUCCCUGGAAUGGGACAUCGUAGAGGGUGAAAAUCCCGUACUUGCCAUGGACGUACCAUGCUUUGCGAUACACGCUCCAAGAGUCGAGUAGUUUGGGAUUGCUGCUCAAAAUGGGUGGUAGACUCCAUCUAAAGCUAAAUAUCGGGGAGAGACCGAUAGCGAACAAGUACCGUGAGGGAAAGAUGAAAAGCACUUUGGAAAGAGAGUUAAAAGUACGUGAAAUUGUCGAAAUGGAAGCGCUUGAAGUCAGCCAUGCGGCUGGGGACUCACCUUGGCGUCUCGCUGAGGGUAUUUCUCCAGUAGCAAGUCAGCAUUGGUUUGCGGCGCCGGAGAAGGGUCCAGGGAAGGUGGCACCCUCGGGUGUGU